rnacentral:rRNA from 1 species
UUGAACGCUGGCGGCAGGCCUAACACAUGCAAGUCGAGCGGAUGAAGGGAGCUUGCUCCUGGAUUCAGCGGCGGACGGGUGAGUAAUGCCUAGGAAUCUGCCUGGUAGUGGGGGAUAACGUCCGGAAACGGGCGCUAAUACCGCAUACGUCCUGAGGGAGAAAGUGGGGGAUCUUCGGACCUCACGCUAUCAGAUGAGCCUAGGUCGGAUUAGCUAGUUGGUGGGGUAAAGGCCUACCAAGGCGACGAUCCGUAACUGGUCUGAGAGGAUGAUCAGUCACACUGGAACUGAGACACGGUCCAGACUCCUACGGGAGGCAGCAGUGGAGAAUAUUGGACAAUGGGCGAAAGCCUGAUCCAGCCAUGCCGCGUGUGUGAAGAAGGUCUUCGGAUUGUAAAGCACUUUAAGUUGGGAGGAAGGGCAGUAAGUUAAUACCUUGCUGUUUUGACGCUACCAACAGAAUAAGCACCGGCUAACUUCGUG